rnacentral:tRNA from 1 species
GGAAGCGAAUGGGGCCCGGUGGCCCUCCCGGUCUUCAAAACCGGCGCGCUCCCCGCAUUGCGGGGAGGCUGGGUUCGACUCCCAGGCGCUUCC